AAUCCGGGGCAUCUUGG
rnacentral:misc_RNA from 1 species